rnacentral:rRNA from 1 species
GGGAUUGCCCUAGUAACGGCGAGUGAAGCGGCAACAGCUCAAAUUUGAAAUCUGGCGUCUUCGGCGUCCGAGUUGUAAUUUGCAGAGGGCGCUUUGGCAUUGGCAGCGGUCCAAGUUCCUUGGAACAGGACGUCACAGAGGGUGAGAAUCCCGUACGUGGUCGCUAGCCUUUACCGUGUAAAGCCCCUUCGACGAGUCGAGUUGUUUGGGAAUGCAGCUCUAAAUGGGAGGUAAAUUUCUUCUAAAGCUAAAUACUGGCCAGAGACCGAUAGCGCACAAGUAGAGUGAUCGAAAGAUGAAAAGCACUUUGGAAAGAGAGUUAAAAAGCACGUGAAAUUGUUGAAAGGGAAGCGCUUGCAGCCAGACUUGCCUGUAGUUGCUCAUCCGGGUUUCUACCCGGUGCACUCUUCUAUAGGCAGGCCAGCAUCAGUUUGGGCGGUUGGAUAAAGGUCUCUGUCAUGUACCUCUCUUCGGGGAGAACUUAUAGGGGAGACGACAUGCAACCAGCCUGGACUGAGGUCCGCGCAUCUGCUAGGAUGCUGGCGUAAUGGCUGUAAGCGGCCCGUCUUGAAACACGGACCAAGGAGUCUAACAUCUAUGCGAGUGUUUGGGUGUCAAGCCCGAGCGCGUAAUGAAAGUGAACGGAGGUGGGAACCUUUCGGGGUGCACCAUCGACCGAUCCUGAUGUCUUCGGAUGGAUUUGAGUAAGAGCAUAGCUGUUGGGACCCGAAAGAUGGUGAACUAUGCUUGAAUAGGGUGAAGCCAGAGGAAACUCUGGUGGAGGCUCGCAGCGGUUCUGACGUGCAAAUCGAUCGUCAAAUUUGGGCAUAGGGGCGAAAGACUAAUCGAACUAUCUAGUAGCUGGUUCCUGCCGAAGUUUCCCUCAGGAUAGCAGUAACGUUUUCAGUUUUAUGAGGUAAAGCGAAUGAUUAGAGGCCUGGGGGUUGAAACAACCUU